rnacentral:rRNA from 1 species
AUGGAAAAGCAGAAAGACUUGAAAGCUCAAUACAAACUUCUUAAGGAUGCCCGCAAACAGAGCGGUGUCAGUUGGAACUAUCAUACACAAAAGAUAGAUGCUGACGCAUAUCUUUGGCAAAACUUGAUGAUUUCGUGGCCAGAAAUAGCUAAGUUCCAGAAUAAGCCCUUUCCCCUCUACGAUAAGCUUGGUGAUCUGUAUGAUGGACAUAUAGCAGAAGGUAACUUCAAUUUCACAUCAACUGAAGUUACACAAGUGAGUGAUGGUGAUCCCGAAGUUGAAAGAGAGCAGACUGCCUUCUCUUUUGACCUGAAUCAAUAUGGUGAUGAUUUACACAUGUAUAAUGAUCCAAGAGAUGCCGCCCCAAGUGAUGUAUCAAGAGAUGCCGCCCCAAGUGAUGGUUCAAGAGAUGCUGCCCCAAGUGGUGGUCCAAGAGAUGUUGCCCAAACAGGUGCUCCCGGUGGUUCAAAUAAGAAGCCAGUGAAGGAGCCCAAGAAGAAGAAGCGUGAUGACCCAAUGGUGGGUGAUGGCACAAUAUGUGGAGAUUAAACGGAAGCAAGCAGAGGAGGAGUCUGUUUUGUUGGCAGGGUCAAAAAUGCCCAAGAGUUCUCCAUCAGCAAGUGCAUUGCUGUUUUGCACAAGAUGGAAAGCAUCCGCCAUGAUGAAAGAGUUGCUGCCUACAAAGUGUUCAAAAGUGUUGAGAAUCAUGAGAUUUUUCUGAAUUCUGCCGCCGAAGAUGAAGAUAGUGCUGCUGCAUUUCUUCGGAGCGAAAUGGAAGAGUUGCAUCAACGUAUCUAAGGGACCUGAUCUCGCGGAAGCAUGGGCGACCACACGUUGCCGCCAGAAGUCUCCUCCACACUGCUGCCCGCAAACAUGUCUCGGAGCAUUCGCCGGUCAAACAUGUGUUUAUGUUGUGAUGAACCAUUGACUUUCGUUGACGAACAUCUUGUAUUUUUCAUUUGGACCAUGGCAUGUGUCAUGUUUUUCAUUUGGACCGUGGCAUGUAUGCAUGUACCAUUUUCAUUUAAACCGUUGAUAGUACUUGUAACAGAUUAUAUGAGCUUGUUUGUUGUUUUGCGUAAUCUAGUUGCACCUUUAUUGCAAGUACAUUUGUUCUAUGAGCUUUUGAAGUUGUAA